rnacentral:rRNA from 1 species
AUCAGUGUUCGAUACCGGAGAGGGAGCCUUAGAAACGGCUACCACAUCUAAGGAAGGCAGCAGGCGCGCAAAUUACCCACUCUCAGAACGAGGAGGUAGUGAAUUUAAAUAGCGAUGAUGAACUCUUAUGAGGCUCGUCAAUCGAAAUGAGUACAAUUUAAAUCCUUUAACGAGUACCAAUUGGAGGGCAAGUCUGGUGCCAGCAGCCGCGGUAAUUCCAGCUCCAAUAGCGAAUAUUAAAUUUGUUGCAGUUAAAAAGCUCGUAGUUGGAUCCAAGGUUAGGCAUGCCUGUCUGUUCUUAGUAGCAUGACUGUGUGUGUCUGCCUUUAUUAGUUGAAUGUUCAUUAUGGUGGUCUUCAUCGACUGCUAUGAUGUGCUCAACACGUUUACCUUGAAAAAAUCAGAGCGAUCAAGGCAGGCCUUCGUGCUUGUAUGUUGUUGCAAGGAAUAAUAGAAUAGGACUUCGGUUCUAUUUUGUUGGUUUUGAGAAUUGAAGUAAUGAACAAUAGAGACAGUCGGGGGCAUUUGUAUGGUGGCGUUAGAGGUGAAAUUCUGAGAUCGUCGCCAGACAAACUACUGCGAAAGCAUUUGCCAAGGAUGUCUUCAUUAAUCAAGAACGAAAGUCAGAGGUUCGAAGACGAUCAGAUACCGUCCUAGUUCUGACCAUAAACGAUGCCGACCUACAAUCGGGGGUGGUUUAUUAUAUUGACCCUCCCGGCUGUCCUCAGGAAACUUUAAGUUGGUUCUGGGGGGAAUAUGGUCUCAAGACUGAAACUUAAAGGAAUUGACGGAAGGGCACCACCAGGAGUGGAGCCUGCGGCUUAAUUUGACACAACACGGGGAAUCUCACCCGGUCCGGACACUGGUAGGAUGGACAGAUUGAUAGCUCUUUCUUGAUUCAGUGGGUGGUGGUGCAUGGCCGUUCUUAGUUGGUGGAGUGAUUUGUCUGGUUAAUUCCGAUAACGAACGAGACUCUGUCCUGCUAAAUAGUCCAGUGGCAUCAAUCACUAUGUGAUUACAGCUGCUGUUACUUCUUAGAGGGAUUCGCGGAUUUAAACCGCAAGAAAUAGAGCAAUAACAGGUCUGUGAUGCCCUUAGAUGUCCGGGGCCGCACGCGCGCUACAUUGACAGUAGAAGCGAGUAUUUCUACCUGGUUCGAAAGAAUUGGGAAAUCUUCGAAUUACUGUCUCCACAGGGAUUGAGGUUUGCAAUUUUGCCUCAUGAACGAGGAAUUCCCAGUAGGCGCAAGUCAUCAGCUUGCGUCGAUUACGUCCCUGCCCUUUGUACACACCGCCCGUCGCUACUACCGAUUGAGUGCAUUAGUGAGGACCUCGGAUUGAGAACAUAGUGGCGCAAGUUACUUUGUUUUCGAAAAGUGGUUCAAAUUUGUGCAUUUAGAGAUAGUAAAAGUCGUAACAAGGUU